rnacentral:rRNA from 1 species
GACGAACGCUGGCGGCGUGCUUAACACAUGCAAGUCGAACGGAAAGGCCCUGCUUUUGUGGGGUGCUCGAGUGGCGAACGGGUGAGUAACACGUGAGUAACCUUCCCUUGACUUUGGGAUAACUUCAGGAAACUGGGGCUAAUACCGGAUAGGAGCUCCUGCUGCAUGGUGGGGGUUGGAAAGUUUCGGCGGUUGGGGAUGGACUCGCGGCUUAUCAGCUUGUUGGUGGGGUAGUGGCUUACCAAGGCUUUGGCGGGUAGCCGGCCUGAGAGGGUGACCGGCCACAUGGGGACUGAGAUACGGAGCAGAGUCCUAUGGGAGGCAGCAGUGGGGAAUAUUGCACAAUGGGCGGAAGCCUGAGGAAGCAACGCCGCGUGCGGGAUGAAGGCCUUCGGGUUGUAAACCGCUUUCGCCUGUGACGAAGCGUGAGUGACGGUAAUGGGUAAAGAAGCACCGGCUAACUACGUG